AUUGAACGCUGGCGGCAGGCCUAACACAUGCAAGUCGAGCGAGCGGCGGACGGGUGAGAAAUGUAUGGGGACCUGCCCGAUAGAGGGGGAUAACUAUUGGAAACGGUGGCUAAUACCGCAUACUAUCGGAUGAACCCACAUGGGAUUAGCUAGUAGGUGGGGUAAAGGCUCACCUAGGCGACGAUCUCUAGCUGGGCUGAGAGGAUGAUCAGCCACACUGGGACUGAGACACGGCCCAGCCUCCUACGGGAGGCAGCAGUGGGGAAUAUUGCGCAAUUGGGGCAACCCUGACGCAGCCAUGCCGCGUGAAUGAGGGAGGCCUUCGGGUUGUAAAGUUCUUUCGGUAGCGAGGCGUUAACUACAGAAGAAGCACCGGCUAACUCCGUGCCAGCAGCCGCGGUAAUAC
rnacentral:rRNA from 1 species